CAAAGCCCAACAGAUGGAACUUUCACAUGGCCGGAGUUCUCUGUUCAGCCUAAAUUUGCAUUGCUGUUGUUUUGACAGAUUGUUCACAGCUGCCCUGCUGUCCGCAGGGCGUUACAAUGACCGGCCUGGAUUUUCAUUUGACCCUUCGGGAUCCGCCUCGCCCUUUUGAGGUAUUCGGCUGUGGCCGUCCUCCAACUGAUGCUUUGUGCUUGCCGUUUGCCUGAGGAAUUUCAAAGGAACAAAAUCCAGGACCCACAGCAGCCCUUGAGGACCACUUUGGACACCCCUGGGAUGUAGGAUCAGAAUCAACAUAGAUUUCCUAUCGACUUAAUACUCAUCUAUCAGAACAAGAAUCAGGACCCACAGUGGCCCUUGAGGACCGAUUUGGAGUGGACACCCCAGGCUAAGCGGGACCUCUACUGCUUUAUAAAAGAUUUAUGUUUGAAUUUUGGGGGCUUGGAACGGAUUUGAGCAUUUACAUGGAAAACGCGUCUCUACUUACGGAAUUUCCAGUUUAUGAAACCACUUCCAGAACCAAUUAAUUUUGUAAGUAGAGGUACCACUGUAUGUUGCACUCACAACAACAUAUGUGUAUGUAUAACUAUGUACAUUUUUUACAUUACUAUAAAUUAAGGGAGUUUCAGAAAGGAUGACAAACCUGAAAAAGACUGUUUUUUUAUCAAAUGGUUGAGCAUUUGCUCCACAAAACAAAAAUGCAAAUAGGGGAAUUUGUGACUAGUGGAAGCCUAUAACAAAAUGCGCUUAGUCACUGUGAAAUCUGGACGUGUUUAGUUCAAAACAAAGCUAUUUUGUCGUAUAAAUUGGCGACAGCGGGAUACAAUUAAAGUUUACUGUUUGUUUCAUUGUUAAUUGUACCCUCUGUGGAAGAGCAUUUAGUUGUUCUGCCUGUGACGUUACAGCUCCGCUGGCACAGACAACAGCAGGCAUUUUUAAAGCGUUUACUAUACUAAAACAAAUCCGGGUUACAACAAAAGUCUGACACACAUCGCAGACCUCCAACAAGGCUUACUAAGGAUGUGGAUGCAUCAUCUUGUGUGACGCCAACUCACCUGUGGCUCCAGUGAGGAUCACCAUUACAAUAAAAGCAAGGAUGGAUGGGAUUUGAAUGACUUGAAUAAGCAAAUGUUACCACCAUUGGAAUAAUGUACUGCAACCACCUGUAUAUAAAGUCGACUUUUUCGCACUGUGAACAGAUUUGGUGUUGAAGUCAUUUGUUCUUGGUUAUUGUCAUUAUUGCGAUCAUGAAAAUAUUUAGAUAUUAAAUUUGGAAUUCUAUUCAUAUUUAAGCGCUGAAAUGGCUGGAUAUUUUGAAAGAGACAAUAUUUUGGCUAUCAGUUUUGUAC